rnacentral:snRNA from 1 species
GUGCUUGAUUUGGUAGCAUGUGAACUGAAAGUGGAACAAUGCAGAGAAGAUUAGCAUGGCCCCUUUGCAAGGAUGACGAGAUAAAAUGUUCAUUCUCUUUUU